CAAGGAAUUUUCCCCAAUGGGCGCAAGCCUGAGGGAGCAACGCCGCGUGCAGGACGACGGCCUUCGGGUUGUAAACUGCUUUUGCGUGGGACGAUAACGACGGUACCACGCGAAUCAGCCCCGGCUAACUCUGUGCCAGCAGCCGCGGUAAUACAGAGGGGGCAAGCGUUGUCCGGACUUACUGGGCGUAAAGCGCACGCAGGUGGUAGAGCAAGUGGGGUGUGAAAGCCGCCAGCUCAACUGCCGGAGGCCAUCCCAAACUGCGUCACUUGAGGCCUGUAGAGGUAUGUGGAAGUGCCGGUGUAGUGGUGAAAUGCGUAGAGAUCUGCAGGACCACCGAGGGGGAAACCAGCAUACUGUAGAUGUCCUGACACUCAGGUGCGACAGCGUGGGGAGCGAACGGGAUUAGAUGCCCGGGUUGUCC
rnacentral:rRNA from 1 species